UAUGUCUUUGAGCAUGUUGUCU
rnacentral:siRNA from 1 species